AACGAACGCUGGCGGCAGGCCUAACACAUGCAAGUCGAGCGAGGUAGCAAUACCUAGCGGCGGACGGGUGAGUAACGCGUGGGAACGUACCCUUUGCUACGGAAUAGCCUCGGGAAACUGAGAGUAAUACCGUAUGUGCCCUUCGGGGGAAAGAUUUAUCGCCAAAGGAUUAGCCCGCGUUGGAUUAGAUAGUUGGUGGGGUAAUGGCCUACCAAGUCUACGAUCCAUAGCUGGUUUGAGAGGAUGAUCAGCAACACUGGGACUGAGACACGGCCCAGACUCCUACGGGAGGCAGCAGUGGGGAAUCUUAGACAAUGGGCGCAAGCCUGAUCUAGCCAUGCCGCGUGGACGAUGAAGGCCUUAGGGUGUAAAGUCCUUUCAGAU
rnacentral:rRNA from 1 species